rnacentral:rRNA from 1 species
CGAAAGCCUGACGGAGCAAUACCGCGUGCGGGAGGAAGGCCCUUGGGUCGUAAACCGCUUUUCUUAGGGAAGAAACCUGACGGUACCUAAGGAAUAAGCCUCGGCUAACUCCGUGCCAGCAGCCGCGGUAAUACGGAGGAGGCAAGCGUUAUCCGGAAUUAUUGGGCGUAAAGCGUCCGCAGGUGGCGAUUCAAGUCUGCUGUCAAAGCACGGGGCUUAACUCCGUAAAGGCAGUGGAAACUGAAUAGCUAGAGUGCCGUAGGGGUAGAGGGAAUUCCCGGUGUAGCGGUGAAAUGCGUAGAGAUUGGGAAGAACACCGGUGGCGAAAGCGCCCUACUGGGCCAUAACUGACACUGAGGGACGAAAGCUAGGGGAGCG